UCGCCCUGCGCGAUUUGCGCCGCUGCUGGCUCACCAUGGCCGCCUAUAAGACCCCGCGACGCGGCCGCCGCCUAAAACCCUAAGCGCCCUGCCCUCUUUUCUCGGCUGCCGCUGCCAAUCCUGUGGAGAAUGGAGGGGGAAACGUCUCCCCAAGGCCGCCGCCGCCGCACACCAGGAGCAGAGGAGGGGCGCAGAGCACCAAGCAGAGGAAGGGAGGCGUGGGGUAGAGAGGAAGCAAGAGGAGCCGGAGGAGGCCGUCGCCGAGCAGGCCAAGAAGAGGGCCAACGGGAAGGAUCAUAGGAGGAGAAGGGCACACCGACGCCACCGGAGCUUCACCACGCCAGCGCUCGAACGACGAACCUGCGCGGCACGGCACAGCACCACCCUCGCCUGCAUCGCCUCGUCACGGCGUCGCGCCCCUUCUUCCUCAGACCGCCGCCUGUUAGAUGCAGGAUCUGAUUCGACGAUCAAGCUAGACGAUGAUGAAGAAUGCUAAGGACGGAUCGUGCUGCGCUCAAGAUGCCUGUGGAGGAGUGAAGCCAGAAGAUGAAGCAUGCCUAGAAGAAUAGCUAUCACUUCCGAGUUUUAUUUGUUAUCCUUUAGCCCGAGGGGCUUGUACUCUGAUUUUUGUAUCGCAAAUCUUCUGGAUUAUGUGCAAUUUAAACCCAUGUAAUGACUCCUAUCGAGAAGUAUGACUGUGAUAUGUAAUUAAAAUGAGUUCUGUA